rnacentral:sRNA from 1 species
UGUGAGGGCUAUCUGGCUGUGACAUGUUACCUCAUUGAUCCCCAGGGUUGAUUCAGCUCAUCUGGCUGACUCGGCAGGCAUCCCCUUCCUCCCUCACNNN